rnacentral:sRNA from 1 species
UGUUUUUUUUGGUUUUUGGACUUUAGCUGUCGGCGUU